CAUUGCUGAGCACUGUGAUUUUUUUUUUCUACAACCAGGCAGAUUGUUUAAACCACCACAGAGCAGGGGCAGAGCCUGCAAGAAGCUGAGGCAUUUCUAUACAAGACAAUUUGAAGACUUCAGAGAGCGCUGGGGGAUCUCUUUGACUCUUGGCAGUGAACAGACUAAACUGAGAAGUACAGAAGUGUGAAAAAAAUUGGGAACUUUCUUCUCGUCCUUUUAUCCUUCAGAAAUCUGACUAUCUGCAAAAACAGAAGAAAAAUCAAAGCACAACAUAAAAGUUUUAGCAUAAGAACAACUGGAUAAGAGCAAAGGUCUCUCAGGCAGAGUCCUACUUCCAGCAGCAGCCAGUGGCAGAGGCGGGAGGAAGAGGAGAGGAACCAGGCUUGUACAUAAAGAUUCCUGUGCUUGGCUGUACUUCUCCAAUCACUGGCUGCCAGCAUGCUUGGGCUUCCUUCAGUGGAGACUGCUCUAAGCCAGGAUGUUUCACAGCUCCCUCAUGGCCCUCUCAAAGGAUAG